CGGCGAGCGUUUGGGAGUCACUAGGUAAGCGUUCUGUUCGCGGGGCCGCCGCUCGGCCGCUUCUGCUUUUUUUAGAUCGGCACGGAGCGGCCGCCGAAGCGCUCGAGACCGAGCGCGACCCCGGGCGCCUGCCUCCGCCCCCCGGAAGAGCGUUGCCAGCGCUUCGACCCCUCCCGCUUCCAGCACGGACCGCGAGCCGGACGGGACCGCGGAUUCCUUUCCCAUCCGCCCUGCGCUUUACGCGUACCUUCAGGAGCAUCAUCUGAUUUUCGUAGCGGAGACGCGGUGGGACAGCUUGCACAACUGGAAUGCUGUUGUGGAUGGCAUGUUUUGUUUGUUUAUUUAUUUUUUUUCAGGGAAGACAGAGCAGCGAGGCGGUGGAGUUGCUCUUCUGGUGACGUAACUGGAACGUAGCUGUGCCUAGGGACAGACGAAGAACCAGGGUUGCCCUGCUGCGUGAGGCUCCAGGGGCGGUAAAUGUGGCAACGUCACUAGGGGUGUCGGUGGCGGGCAGGGAUGAGAAAGCGGACGAGAUGCUAUGCUUGCAGCUGGAAGUAACCUCACAGCUGUGUGCAUGAGUUCUCACAGCAGACUUGAACGGCUCUGCUAGUUGCUAGGAAAGCAGCACACUCUCAUUGCAGGAGGCUCCUGUGAUCUGUUGAAGAUGAAACUUUGGACGCUGGUGACAGAGAAGCCGAUGAGGAGAGGGGUGCUGCCGGAGCUCGUCCUCCCUGCCGAGGAAGGGCUGGCUGGAGAUGAGAAGACCAGGGGAGGCCUGGAGCACGGCAGCUGCAAGGCAGCCAAGUUCAGGAUCUCACGUGGAAGAUGCAAAGCAAUAAGUAGGAUUGAAAAAGGGGGGGGUCUUGGACGGAGAAGAAUUCCUCCCCUUAAAGGACUUAAGUGGAGGUAACCUUAGGGUUAGAAUAUGGGAAGAGGUCCUGCGAGCGGUUCUUGAUGCUCAUGCGUUACUUCCUCUGUGUUUGGAGGGGGUGUAUCUCUAAGAGUAAGAAACAGCAGAGAUGGCAGGAGAUGCGCCUGGGCAAACAAAGAGCGUGGAUAAAAUCAAAGGAGAGGAGGAGGAACAGAAGAGGCGAGGGGGGGCAAGGCCCACUUCAGAAUCCCUUCUGGGGAGGGAGGUCAAGGCUAACAGAAGUCUCCAGGGGUCGCUGCUGAGAUGGCUCCUUGGGAAUCCCAGAUCAGGGAGCAAAGAGUCUUCGAGGAGGAAUGAUCUUGUUCUUAAUUGCGGAGUAGCUGGUGAAAGAUGAUUCAGGAAAGAUGCCCGAGGACCCAAGGAUAACCAACAUCACCUCCUUCCCCGGAAAAGUGAGGGAACGGGUUGUUCUAGAAGUCAGCUCCAAGUCAGCGGAGGAGAAGAAAUGUUUAAGGAACGGUCGCAGUGGAUCAACCAGGUUUAGGGCCAGCGUGGGGAUCCUGACGGCAAGACUCUGGUGCCUCUGUGGAGUGAGGUGAGCCGCACCCUUUUGUCCCCUGGCACCCACUCCCAGCCAGAAACAAGUCCUUUGUGUUUGGUGACGGUUUGUCUCUUUCUUCUUUGGUGUGAGGCAGGUUCCCUUAUGGGGAAGGGGUCUUUUUGUUGUGUGGCUUCUGUGGAGUUUGGGGUCCCAGGGCUGCAGUCUCCGGUGAGGUCUAGCACUUUAGGGCUGUGUUGGUUUGGUUUUUUU